GAUGUAUUCUGCAGCAGGAAGUGUGAUGGGCACUGACGCUGCAGAAAGACUCCUGUUGUCCACCUCGGGAGCUGACACGAUAAAUGCGGGUAAAUCUCAAUCCUUUAAUAUCUUUAUGACUUCUUUCUCUUUCUCUUCAAUUUCUAUUUUCUCAUGUUCAAGCUCUGACAUUCAAAACUAAACACCUUUCUCUAACAUGUUGCUUUAAUUAUUUAAGCAUUCUGCCUGGGAUUUUUUCAAUUACUCUUGGGAGUUUUCAUAAAACUCUACCAACAUAUCUCCAAGUGGCCAGGCUUUUCAAUCACUGCUUCCCUCCGUGUGUAUUUCACACACACACACACACACACACACACACACAGCACUUAAAUUGAACAGGUUUAUUUCUUCACACAGGAAUUCCUACGAACAGCCCGGUUUUCUCCACCAUAUGUCCACUCCUUCUCUGCAUAGCUGAAUUUUGAUUCUUACACUCUAAUAUUUUACAUAUUCUUACACUCUGAUAUGAUCUUGUCUCUUAUUCUUUAUGGCUCUGCUCUGUAAUUUUGUUGUUGUUGUUCUGAGAUAUAGUUGGACAUGUAACUUGUACAUGACACACCUUAGCAAGGAGGCAACCUAUAUCUCAGAUGCAAGUGAAAGAAGCACUCCCCAGGGGUUUCCUAAGGUAGUGGUCAGCACGCUGGCUUCAUUCCUGAAAGGGCCUAGUUAUGAAAACAACAGGAGCUUUUUGCCUUCCAGAAAUCUGUACCAUCUCAAAAUCCCCAGAGAGUCUCAGCUACAAGGAACAACUUGAAUGUGAGGCAACUGUGAAAAGUGCAGGGCAGAGCCACCUGGGUAAAUACAGCCCUGGCUUUCUGGUGAGAGGACUGAAACCAGGAUGUGUCAAGUAACUAGAAUGUGCCUGGACAGAUACUGUAGAAAGCAAACCCAUAAAGUUGUUCAUGAGCUUGUGGACGCACCUGCCAGCUGUGAAUAAGUGGGUCUAAUCCCAAACAACUUACCUAAAAAGAGCCUGAGGACUGAACUAAACAAUGGUCCACUUUCCAGUCCUCACUGACCACUGGUUGCACACACUCCAGAGAUCUCUCAUCCGCAGUGUCAAGGCUUUCAAAUAGAGUUAUCUGUGAAACAACAACACAUGGAAGUCUGGUUGGUACUUGGAGCUUAAAUACAAGGCAAUUGUGUGCCUGCAAAAACAAAAAGAGCAAUAUUAUCCUUAAGAUUUCAACAAGACACAGUGUCUCAUCACAUAAUCCAAAGAAGUCCAGGUUACAAGCCCCAAAAUAUUCAGCAUUAUGAAAAACCAGGGAGAUCUUAAUUCACAUGGCAAAGAGAAUCCUUGCAUAACAAUAUUGAGAGGACACAUAUGUCAAAAUCAUCUGACACAUACAUUAAAGCAGUUAUUAUAACAAUGCUCCUAGAAUUACGGGAUAGCAUUCAUGAAGUGAAUGGAAAGUUGGAAAGUCUCACCAAAUAUUUGGAAUAUGUAAACACCAAUUUAAACUUAAGAAUUAAAAAAAGUAUUAACCAAAACUAUUAGGGGAAAUAAAAAGCUUAAUUGGAUGAUCUCAAUAGCAGUAUGCAGAAGACUAAGGAAAAAGUCAAUGAACUUGAAAACGGAACAAGAAUACCUACAGAAUCUGACCUAUAGAAAGAAAGGAGGAUUUUAUUGUCCCUGAACAGAGGCUCAGGGACAAAUAAAAAAUAACAAAUCUAACAUUCACAUUAUUGUAAUCUGGAAACAUUCACAUUAUUGUAAGAGGACAAAGAGGUCUUUGUGGGAUAAAACUGUGAAGAAUUAAUGGCUGAAAAUGUAUCAAAUUUCUCAAAAGAUAUAAACCAGAUUUUUAAAGUUCAGUAAAUGUCAAGCAGGAUAAACCAAAAGAAACCCAUUGCAAGACAUAUCAUAAUCAAACUGCGGAAAAUUAAGAAAACACAAAACAAUUUUGAAAGCAGCCAAAGGGAAAUGAAAGAUAAAAUACCAAAUGAAUGAUUGUAGAUUUCUCAUCGGGAACCCAGGAGCCAGAAAAAAAUGUCAUAACAUUCAGUAAAUACCAAAGGAAAAAUACAUUAUCAACCCAGAAUGGUAUGUGGAGCAAAAGUAUCUUCCAGACAUAAAGGCAAAUAAAUGCAUUCUCAUUGGAAGGUAAAUAAAUACAUUCUCAGUCCUAGCAAAACUGCUGGAAAAGAAUUAGCAAAGGUUUGAGAUAAGAAAAGUGAUACCAGAAGGAAACUUAGAACAUCAUCAAUGAAGGAACAAAAGCAGAAAUAGAAAAUGUCUGGGUAGACAUAACAGACUAUUAUUCUUCUCUUGAGUUCCUUAAGACAAUGAGUAGCCACUGCUGUUUGCCCUGGCCCAUCAAUGAGAAGAUCUGCUCUUAGAGCCCUGCUUUCCUGCUGAAGGCCCUGAAAUCACCUGUGUUCCAGGCCACCUGCUAACAAUAAAUAAUGCUGCCCUGAUGUGGGGAAUUAGCUCAAGUGGUAGAGCGCUUGCUUAGCACGCAAGAGGUAGUGGGAUCGAUGCCCACAUUCUCCAAGCUUUAUUAUUUAGACAUCGUGUCUCCAAACACUCAGGUCUCCAAACCCAAGUUAGUGUCUGAGAACAGGAUGCUGCUUUGGUUCAAGACGUAGGAGCAGCAAUAAUAGAGGGCUGGUGAUGGCUCCCUCUUGGCAUUCAGUAUAGUGUAGAUCUACCAUGUAAUUAAUUCUCUGUUUCUUUGAGGAGCUGUGAAACCAAGGGACAUAUACAACUGCUCUUUUCUCCCUGUUUCUACCUGCAGCUUUGUCCUAAAUGUGAGACAAUUAUGAAAAGUGCAGCGCAGAGCCACUUGGGUAAAUACAGCCCCGGCUUUCUGCUCAGGGGACAGAGUUUGAGGCACUGCAGAGGAACCGGCCAAAGUAUGAGACCCAUAUAUUGAGAGUAACAGAGUGUAAAGUUCAAAAAAAUCAAAAUAUUUAAAGAUUUAUCAUGGGUCUUGAUGACAUGAUGGAAUCUCUCUACUCUCUGGACUUAUUAUGUGUGGUAAUAAAUUUACUUUUUAAAAGCCAGUUGAGUGUUUUUAAUGUUGUGGAGCUAUUGCUAAGAGUUUCCUGAGUUUUUUCCAGUAAUGUAGAGAUCUUUGUGCUAAAUAUUUCAUAAAGAAGUUUGG
rnacentral:lncRNA from 1 species